CCGAGACACUAAACCAGCCUUCUGAUAUUCAUCCGCCCUGGAACCCGGAUUUAAAAAUCUCCUUUUCUCCCAAGACGCCGAAGUGGACGUCCAGCCUAAAAACUACAAACUUCUGCGGAUUCACCUGAAAUCGUCUCCGUGUUGAUUGGGCCUACUAGUCUGGCGCCUAAACACACCUGCUGAGAAUCAGGUGGAGUGGGCGAACAGGCCGCGGGUCCGCCAUGUUUGAAAUCGCUGCGUUUGUUACAAGCAGCAGAGGACCGACCCGGCCAUGGCGUCUCAGCGGUGGUUUGUCUGGCUGCUGAUGAAGACAAGCAGGCCGCGGGGCCGCCAUCUUUGAAAUCGCUGCGUUUGUUACAAGAGCAGCAGAAGGCCACCUGACCACGGCAUCGCAGCGGUGGUUUGUUUGGGUGCUGGCGUCCCUGAAAUAUGGGGAAAAAAUGGCGUCUGGAGCCAGCAGUUGAUCGAUUAUGGAUAAACUACAAUCAAGAUGAGGAUUCCCUUCAAUCAAGCUGAGGAUCGCUUCCCUCAAGCUGAGGAUUCCCUACAAGGUGCCUGGCGGAUCCGCCCAACCCAUCAAAGGUUUGUUAAGUCAAAGAACUGUUCCAAUGGCGGGUCCAGAAGACAUCUCAAAGUAAGAGCUGCUGCUGGGUUUGAUGCUGAAGCGUUUGGCUAUGCUGGUUUGUUUUGAUUCUCUGCUGAGAAUCUAUGCGCUGAGAAGGAUUCUGCUGUUGAAAAUCCUUCUGUCUUGGGUCUUUUUGCUGUUUACUGCUGUGGUCAUGUGACCCGGGAAGGUUUAGGUGUAACUAGCAUGUUGGAAUCUGAAGUUCAUGGCUGAAAGUCAGUUGUGAUGUGAAAAAUGGCUGCCAAAGAUUUGGCAACACUUUAGAGGAUGCAGGAAGUGAUUCAGCUUAGGCAUAAUAAAUAUCACCAUCAUAAUCCUUGAUAACAUACCUGCAUAUUAUUAGUGAUAAUUUAAUGUGGCUAUGUUGACAUUAAUAUAGCUGCAUUAAGAUAAUUAUCUUUUCUGUGAAUAUUAUCAAAUAUACUUUUGGGUAAAAAUAAGGUCUUUUACAUUUCUACAUACAUUUUUUUUAUUUUUUGUAUCUACUUAAUAUUUAGUUUGAAAUCUAAUCUAAAUAUUCUUAAAAUGGCGUCAUUACUAUAAUAAUCUAAUAGCUCAACAAAUUUUAUUCGCGUUUAACAACAAUAUAAACGUGAAAAUCGAUUUAUUUCUGCGUCGACUCGGCAGACGGAUUCAUUUCAUUUCUUCUGGACAACAACAGUCAACAGAGAUCUGCUGGAGCUGCAGGUCAGAGGUCAGAGGUGAGGUUUACACAGUCUAAUCCACCACCUCUUAUUUGCAGGUUUAAAUCUGAGAUUAACUCAGGUUUCCUUCCAGAGAUGAUCCAGUUGGACCCGUCUUUCAGUGUUAAGUUUGUUUUUAACCCAGUUUUCCUCCUAGACUAAGCUGCUGGAUGACCUGUUGGUUCACCUAAUUGUUUCUUUCUCCCUUUAGCUUUUAAAAUCACACAAACUGUUUCUCUGUAGAUGAAGCCACCAGAGGACCUUCUGCUGCAGCCAACUCUUUUCUCCUAUAGGAUCCUCCUGGAUCCUCUUUUUCUGUCUUUCUCUUUAUUCUAUCUUUUCAAUCCCCGGGGGUCGUGACAGAUGGCCUUUCUUAUAGAGCCAACUUCUGGUUCUGCUGGAGGGUUCUUCCUGUUAAAGGGAAGAUUUUCCUCUCCACUGUCACUGCAUGCAUCCUCUAUAUGAGGCAUUGCUUUAGCUUACAUAACUUUUAACCAAUGUUUGAUAACUGCAGUUUUCUUUUUAAAUUUUCUUUCUGUUUUUUUUGAAAGUCUUCUUGUGAAAGGGAUGCUUUUCUUCUCCACUGUCACCACUUGAAUCCUCGAUGUGUCUUACGGUGACGGAGACUGGUUUUGAGCUCAUGGUUGAGAGUUUAAGGUCUUGUCAACACUACAUGGAUGUGGACUGAGGGGAUUUAUAAGCCAGUCAGCAGUUUUUGUUGAGAUGGAGACUGGAAACACCAGAUGGCCUCAGACUGGUAGUUAAUGUUGGUAUCAAGAUGGGCACUAUGGUAUUGGACUCUGAACCCAACAAAAGGAAAUGUUGCGUGCUACUUCUUGAAGCCACUUGUCAAGGCUUUGAAGUUGUCGGAUGAGUUAAAGGAAAUUGGUAACGAAGGAAUACAACAAAACUGUAAAUCCAUUCCCUGCAGGAAAAACACGGUAGGUUAUAUGAGAGGAAGAUGUUCUGAUCUUGGGUACAGCAACCAGAACAGAUCCUGUAUUCUCUAGUCUGUAAUCAAAUAUGUGUAAUUCAUUCUAAAAGGUCACCUAUUGAAAGUCAAGAACAAAGUGUAAAGGUGUGUGAACAACGGCAGGAUGAUGGAAAGAUAAUACCCCGUCUAAAGAUCUUCAUCGCCCCUCCGCUGAUGGCUGACCUUAGUGACCCUACCGUCGGGCUCAGCAGUUUUCCUCAAGAAAUGCUGCAGAACCCUUCUCGAUCAUCUUGUUUUCGUCUCUGGCUUCACCCUUCAUCACCUCCCAAGGACGGACGGACGGACGGAUGGAAAAGCCCUUCAUCGCCUCCCAAGGAUGGACGGACGGAAAAGCCCUUCAUCACCUCCCAAGGACCGAUGGACGGAUGGACGAAAAAGCCCUUCAUCGCCUCCCACUGAUGGAUGACCUCAGUGACCCCAUCACCAGACUCGGCAGGUUUCCUGGAAGAAACCCUAGAAGUGUUCCCAGAUGAGCAGGAAUCCUCCUGGAUCAUCCGAUUUCGUCCUUCAUCGCCUCCCAACGACGGACAAAAGAAAAUGACUGAACUUGAAACAACUCAGUUUCUUUUUUCUUUUCUGUCUAGGAUAAUUUUGUUUAGAAGUUUCAUAAUUUUAUUUUUAUACAUUUAAAAUGUCUUUCAUUGUUAAAUAUUAGUUAGAAUUUAAUGUCUGGUUUAGGUUACUGGAGGAUAAAUCAGUCAUUUUUCAACUGUUAACAUUUUUGUUUCUCGGUUAUUUUCU